AAAAUUUAGUUAAUAAAUAACACUAACUUGUCAAGUUAAAAUAAUCUUUUAGAUAAUUUUUA
rnacentral:tRNA from 1 species